rnacentral:rRNA from 1 species
UACGUAGGGUGCGAGCGUUAAUCGGAAUUACUGGGCGUAAAGCGUGCGCAGGCGGUUUUGUAAGACAGGCGUGAAAUCCCCGAGCUUAACUUGGGAAUGGCGCUUGUGACUGCAAGGCUAGAGUAUGUCAGAGGGGGGUAGAAUUCCACGUGUAGCAGUGAAAUGCGUAGAGAUGUGGAGGAAUACCGAUGGCGAAGGCAGCCCCCUGGGACGUCACUGACGCUCAUGCACGAAAGCGUGGGGAGCAAACAGG